CGCCACCCAGUCCAGCCCCCUCGACUACGGCCCCAUUGUGGACCCUGUAAUUGCAGAGUCUCCUGCCUUUUUCUCCCCCACCCCAAUUCUCCCUCUUCAGCAGAAAGAGGCCGGCCCCAUUGUGCAGCUCCUGUUGACACAGGGAUGACCUCACCGGGGGCCUCCUGAGAGGGGCCCAGCAGGGGAAAGGGGAGUGGGGAAUAGAGGGGUGGCAGUGGCCCGGCCCAGGCUGGGAAAGGGCUGGAGGCUGAGGCCUGGGACAAAGGGCCACAGGAGGGUGAAGCCAAGGGUUGGGGGUGGAGGAAGAAAUAGAGAAAGAGAGUUUCCAGGGGUAAGACAAGGGUGCUUUUCAUUAGAGGGAUACUUGAGGGAGGGAAGAUUUCAUCCCAAGAAAGGAUCCCACAGGAAGACUGGGCCUGACGGCCAUGUUCUUGAGGGAGUUUUGGAGACACAGAAAGACAGACAGACCUAGGCUUAGGACCUGCCUGUCGUGAAGGCUUGGAGCAGAGACUCCCCGAGCCUGGAUCUUCAUCUGUAAAAUGGCAAAUAAUAAUACCUUCCACCUGGGACUGUCUUGGGGUCUCUAGUAGAUCACAGAGGCCAGUGAUGAAGCAACUGCCAUUGUGGAGAGGCCCAUGGGGCCAGGAGCUGAGGAGCUGAGGUCCUCCAGUCCAACAGUCUGCAGGGAGCUGAAUUCUGCCAGAACCAUGUGAGUUAGGAAGCAGAUCCUUCCCCGGUGGUGCUUUCAGGCUCUGAGGACCGGCGGCUGAGAUUAAACAACUUAUUACACAAAGAACCAUUUAAUUGCAAGCACAAUCACGCUUAGUGGAGAAGGAGAGAACGGAGCACGGUUUAAGAUGAUCUCCUCACCAGUUCUGCAAGAGAAGGUGGGGCUCAGAUAGGGACCCGGGUCGUCCAGGCCCCAGGAGGCUGGGAAGGUGCAGGGUCCCCAAUAGACCCACUGCCAGUUUGCAGAAAUAGCCUCCAACCCCCUCCCUCACAAGGGUCCAGGGAGCAGCUCUUUCCCCAAAGGCUGGUUUCAGCAGGUUGCAACCACUGCUAGGGGUUAUAGGGGUUACACCAGGCCCCCUGCAAGAGCUGCAGACUCUCUUGUCUAAAACGACAAGCAGACAGAACGGAGUCCUCAGACACUGUCCCCGAGAGACCACCUUCCUCUGCCUCUGCUCACCUCCCUUUUCAGCAAACUAGCCCACCAUCCUUCAUAACAGAAGAGGGGCCUGCAGUAAAACAUAGCAUGCCUGGGCCCCCUACAAAUUGCCAUCUCCUCCCUGGCCUCAGUUUCCCUGCCUGUCUAUAUAAUGAGAGGUCAGACCGGCUGGUCUAAAGGUCAAGGUUGAUCGAAGCACUCUAACUCUCCCCACCCACCUCCCUUCAUCAGCCAGUGCAGAGACACACACGCCCCUCCAUGGUGCUGGAUGUCCUCAGUUUUCCCAAAAUGACCUGGCUUUGAAAGACCAAGGCCAAAAUGGUUUGGCGGUGACUGUGGAGGCCAGCAGGACUCCCUGGCCACACGGUGACUCAAAGAGGCAGCCGGCAGGACAGCCCUGUCUCCCCUUGGGACAGUGAUGCAAUCCAUGGGCAGCUGGGAGGGCUCCGCGGGCCAGACUGCUGGGCAGGCCCCCUCGCUUUCUGAGUUUCGGGCCCUCACUGUAACCUGCAGACCCUCCUUGAGCUGGAAUCCAAAGCCCUCCUAUGUGUGAGUCCUGCACUUCUCUAAAAGUGGUGGAAAAGACAGGCCAGGUUCGAGUCCAGCUCCCAACCCACCACUGCUGUUUUCAAAGCCUUGUGCCCUUGGGCAGGUCACCUCACUCACCCACUGCUGUCCUGUCUCAUUCCCAUGUGGAUGUCGGUGACACCUGCCUCCCAGGUGGUGGCAGGUAAGACGAGAUGAUCCCGUCAGCAGAGGGCAGAGUGCCUCGGGGGAAUUGGUGCUCACAGAGUUAGCCCUGAUGGAGAUGGCUGCCCAGGCUGGACCUUGUCAGCCUCCCCAGAUGAUGGAUGAAUAAUGGAUGGGCAGGCCGGGCGCAGUGGCUCACUCCUGUAAUCCCAGCACUUUGGGAGGCUGAGGCGGGUGGAUCACCUGAGGUCAGGAGUUCGAGACCAGCCUGACCAACAUGCUGAAACCCUGUAUCUACUAAAUACAAAAAAUUAGCUGGGUGUGGUGGUGUGUGACUGUAAUCCCAGCUACUUGGGAGGCUGAGGCAGGAGAAUCGCUUGAACCUGGGAGGCGGAGGUUACAGUGAGCUGAGAUAGCACCAUUGAACUCCAGCCUGGGCAACAAAAGCGAAACUCUGAAAAGAAAGAAAGAAGGAAAGAAAGAAAGAGAGAGAGAGGAAAGAAAGAAAGAGAGAGAGAGGAAAGAAAGAAAGAGAGAGAAAA
rnacentral:lncRNA from 1 species